rnacentral:rRNA from 1 species
UACGAAGGGGGCUAGCGUUGCUCGGAAUCACUGGGCGUAAAGCGCACGUAGGCGGCUUGUUAAGUCAGGGGUGAAAUCCUGGAGCUCAACUCCAGAACUGCCUUUGAUACUGGCGAGCUUGAGUUCGGGAGAGGUGAGUGGAACUGCGGGUGUAGAGGUGAAAUUCGUAGAUAUUCGCAAGAACACCAGUGACGAAGGCGGCUCACUGGCCCGAUACUGACGCUGAGGUGCGAAAGCGUGGGGAGCAAACAGG